rnacentral:rRNA from 1 species
GACGAACGCUGGCGGCGCGCUUAACACAUGCAAGUCGAGCGAGAACCAGGGCUUCGGCCCUGGGGACAGCGGCGAACGGGUGAGUAACACGUGGGUCAUCUGCCCUCGGCACCGGAAUAGCCCGGGGAAACCCGGAUUAAUGCCGGAUGGCCCGGCUGCUCUACGGGGCGGUCGGAAAAGGUAGCUUCGGCCUCCGGCCGAGGAUGAGCCCGCGGCGGAUUAGCUAGUUGGUGGGGUAACGGCCCACCGAGGCGACGAUCCGUAGCUGGUCUGAGAGGACGAUCAGCCACACUGGGACUGAGACACGGCCCAGACUCCGACGGGAGGCAGCAGUGGGGAAUCUUGCGCAAUGGGCGAAAGCCUGACGCAGCGACGCCGCGUGAGGGAAGAAGGCUUUCGGGUUGUAAACCUCUUUCAGGAGGGACGAAGCCACUCGGGUGAAUAGCCCAGAGGGUGACGGUACCUCCAGAAGAAGCCCCGGCUAACUACGUGCCAGCCGCCGCCGUAAUAC